UCAGUUUGGAUAACUUUUGUUAGAAAACCAGAUUGCGAUGAGAUUUGCGUUUAUUCAGAGUGGUCGCAUGCGUCCCGUGCGGGUAUUCGGUCGUGAUAACUGAUUGUUGAGUUAUCAGUCACGGCCUUUGUACAUAACGUUGAGGCUCGUUUGUGGAUUGCAUGUUAGGAGUGCUGUUUACAGAGAUAUAUAUCUUCUACAUCCUGAAGUGGAAUUUAUGUAUGAUUUGGUAGUAAUGUGUCAGCAGCAGGAGCAGCAAAGAUCAACCACUGUCCACAGGCAGAAUAAAAUGAAGAUGACCCAUAUUGUAAUUGCAACAGACCCCUGAUAAUACAGUGGAACAGCAACUGUCUACACCAUCACUGCAGCAGCAGCACCAAACAUUCGGCCUAAGAUUUACUGCUCCUAGACUUCAGGUCUACACCACUGCAGCAGCACACAGUUGACCUACCUGAUUUAUUGGGUCAGCCUUUCCUCAACUUUGAGAUAACACCGUAGCAGCAGCAGUGGCACAUUGAUGAUAUGUUGGAGGAGGAUAUAAAAGAACUCUUCUUCCAGCACUUUGAGUUCCCACUAUCACCAUCAUCAGCACAGUUCAUCAGGUGGUUAUCAUGGCACACUUUGCCUAUUAGAGUGAUGUUAUUUUCUGUAGUGUUAUAACUUUGC